ACCUACGGGACGCAGCAGUGGGGAAUAUUGGGCAGUGGGCGCAAGCCUGACCCAGCAACGCCGCGUGAAGGAAGAAGGCUUUCUGGUUGUAAACCUCUUUUCUCAGGGACGAAGAAAGUGACGGUACCUGAGGAAUAAGCCACGGCUAACUACGUGCCAGCAGCCGCGGUAAUACGUAGGUGGCAAGCGUUAUCCGGAUUUACUGGGUGUAAAGGGCGUGUAGGCGGGAAAGCAAGUCGGAUGUGAAAACCACGGGCUCAACCUGUGGCCUGCACUUG
rnacentral:rRNA from 1 species